CACCGAUGAAGAGGAUGGGGAAAGUGAUGAAGAGCAGGAAGACGUGAGGCACCACGUUGAGCGCGUCCACGAAGCAACCGUUGUUGAGGACGCCCUGGUCCACCCGGCAGGUGGUAUAUUUGUCAUUACUCAAGUGAGAAGGCAGAGAGGAAAACCCAUUUGCCCCAGGACCCCCAGCAAAUUGGGUAGCAGAGCCCAGUUCCUACUUGGAGCAUCCUGCUGAGAAAUGGAUUCUUCAUUCAUUUGUUGGUGUGUCUUUAUUGAGCACAUACUGUGUGCUGGGCACCUUACUAGUUGUGGUGAAUACAGGGCUUACACAAAAGGAGCUCGCUGUUCAAUCUUUUGGGAGUUCCUAAGACCUUGCUAUUAAGAUUUUUGCUUUUUGUUUUCAUUGGCACCCUUUUAUGAGAGUGGAUUUAGCCUCUUCUGGGUCACAGAUACUUUUGAAAACGAUAAAAGCUUUAGAUCACUUCUUCAAAAGGAGAUUUAAUUGCUGGUGUUCAUAAACUCUCCGUAAGUCCAUCUGUGGACACCGAAUUAGGAACUGGCUGCUGCAGUGGUGGCUGUUGGACUAUGCUGAGGGUUUGGGGCCACAUCAGCUAGAAUUUUGCUCCAUGAUAUCUGUCAAGUAAGUGAUGGGACCUUAAUAGUAGAGUCGGAGCUGACUUGCUGUUCUCAGGAUUGCUCUUGACUGAUGAAGAGUCUGUGGCCAGAGUGGUCAGCUCUGCAGCAUCUAGGCAGAGAGGAGAAGUUCUACUUCCUCGGGUGACUGCCUACAUCACUUGCCUGUGAUGCUUGCCAAGAACCUCCAUUUCCUGCCCACCUGUGACCAGCAUGUGGACUGUGGGGAAAUACAAUUUCUUUUAUUUCUCAGUGCUCUUGCAAAAUGCCCUACCCUCCUGACACUCGGAAAUGUAUAAGUUAUAAAGGCAGGGAAUUUUUGUUCUCACUUUCCCUGGAAGCAUUUUGCUCUUUAUGUACCAUGAGAAUUAGAUCUGUAGCCAUUUGUCCAAAUAAUUGCUCUUAUCCAAAAGGAUAAUCAGAUGUACCCAGCAGUUCCACUUGUGGGUGUGUGUCCAACGUAAUUGAAAACAUAGUCUCAAAGAGAUAUUUGCACACCCAUGUUUGGAGCAACGUUACUCACAACAGCCAAAUGUGGAAGCAACUCAAGCAUCCAUCAACAGAGGAAUGGAUAAGCAAAAUAUGGUAUAUCCACACAAUGGAGCAUGAUUCAGCCUGAAUAAAGGAAGGACAUUCUGAAACAUGCUACAACGUGGGAACACCUUGAGAAAAUCAUGCUAAGUGAAAUAAGCCAGUCACGAGAAGACAAAUACUGUAUGAUUCCACUUAGGUGAAGUACCUAGAGUCAAAUUCAAAGGCAGAAAGAGUUGUGGUUGCCAAGGGCUGAGGGGAAGAGAGAACGGGGAGUUACUGUUUAAUGGGCACAGAGAUUUGGGUCUGCAGGAGAAAAGGAGUUCUGGAAGUGGGUAGUGGUGAUGGCCGCACAAUAAUGUGAAUGUGCUGAAUAAGUCAACCGUGCACUUAAAAUAGCUAAGAUGGUAAACUCAUCUUCUGUGUAUCUUACCACAUUAAAAAAAAAAAAGAUAAUAAAACUUCUCUGAUCUCCCCAAGAGGGCCAAAGUGUUACAGCCGGGACCAGGUCCCUAAGGUAAGCCCCUAAGGUGCCAGGAUGGUUAGAGCUCUCCCUAGGUGUGUACCUUCUAAAAGUCUAGGGUGAGAUGAUGCAUAAGGGCACUUGUACCCCAAUGUUUAUAGCAGCACUCUCAGCAAUAGCCAAAUUAUGGAAAAGAGCCUAAAUGUCCAUCAACUGAUGAAUGGAUA